rnacentral:rRNA from 1 species
GACGAACGCUGGCGGCGUGCUUAACACAUGCGAGUCGAACGGAAAGGCCCUGCUUUUGUGGGGUGCUCGAGUGGCGAACGGGUGAGUAACACGUGAGUAACCUGCCCUUGACUUUGGGAUAACUUCAGGAAACUGGGGCUAAUACCGGAUAGGAGCUCCUGCUGCAUGGUGGGGGUUGGAAAGUUUCGGCGGUUGGGGAUGGACUCGCGGCUUAUCAGCUUGUUGGUGGGGUAGUGGCUUACCAAGGCUUUGACGGGUAGCCGGCCUGAGAGGGUGACCGGCCACAUUGGGACUGAGAUACGGCCCAGACUCCUACGGGAGGCAGCAGUGGGGAAUAUUGCACAAUGGGCGGAAGCCUGAUGCAGCAACGCCGCGUGCGGGAUGACGGCCUUCGGGUUGUAAACCGCUUUCGCCUGUGACGAAGCGUGAGUGACGGUAAUGGGUAAAGAAGCACCGGCUGACUACGUG